rnacentral:rRNA from 1 species
AGAGUUGUAUCCUGGCUCAGGAUGAACGCUGGCGGUAUGCCUAACACAUGCAAGUCGUACGAGAGUUUUUAACUCAAGUGGCGGACGGGUGAGUAACACGUGAGAAUUUACCUUUAGGAGGGGGACAACAACUGGAAACGGUUGCUAAUACCCCAUAUGCUUUCGAGUGAAAUGAAUUUAUUCGCCUAAAGAGAAGCUCGCGGCUGAUUAGCUUGUUGGUAGGGUAAGAGCCUACCAAGGCGACGAUCAGUAUCUGGUUUGAGAGGACGAUCAGACACACUGGAACUGAGACACGGUCCAGACUCCUACGGGAGGCAGCAGUGGGGAAUUUUCCGCAAUGGGCGAAAGCCUGACGGAGCAAUACCGCGUGAGGGAAGACGGCCUAUGGGUUGUAAACCUCUUUUUUCAGGGAGGAAUAAAUGACGUGUACCUGAAGAAUAAGCAUCGGCUAACUCCGUGCCAGCAGCCGCGGUAAGACGGAGGAUGCAAGUGUUAUCCGGAAUCACUGGGCGUAAAGCGUCUGUAGGUUGUUAAACAAGUCAACUGUUAAAUCUUGAGGCUCAACUUCAAAAUCGCAGUCGAAACUGUUUGACUAGAGUAUAGUAGGGGUAAAGGGAAUUUCCAGUGGAGCGGUGAAAUGCGUAGAUAUUGGAAAGAACACCGAUGGCGAAGGCACUUUACUGGGCUAUUACUGACACUCAGAGACGAAAGCUAGGGUAGCAAAUGGGAUUAGAUACCCCAGUAGUCCUAGCCG